UGCCAGCAGCCGCGGUAAUACGUAGGGGGCAAGCGUUGUCCGGAUUUACUGGGCGUAAAGCGUACGUAGGCGGAUUAUUAAGUGAGGGGUGAAGUCCCAGGGCUCAACCCUGGAACUGCCUCUGAUACUGGUAGUCUUGAGUUCGAGAGAGGUGAGUGGAAUUCCGAGUGUAGAGGUGAAAUUCGUAGAUAUUCGGAGGAACACCAGUGGCGAAGGCGGCUCACUGGCUCGAUACUGACGCUGAGGUGCGAAAGCGUGGGGAGCAAACAGGAUUAGAUA
rnacentral:rRNA from 1 species